CCUACGGGAGGCAGCAGUGGGGAAUAUUGCACAAUGGGGGAAACCCUGAUGCAGCGACGCCGCGUGAGUGAAGAAGUAUUUCGGUAUGUAAAGCUCUAUCAGCAGGGAAGAGAAUGACAGUUCCUGGAUAAGAAGCCCCGGCUAACUACGUGCCAGCAGCCGCGGGAAUACGUAGGGGGCAAGCGUUAUUCGGAUUUACUGGGUGGAAAGGGAGCGUAGACGGAAGGGCAAGUCUGGAGUGAAAGGCCAGGGCUUAACCCCGGGACUGCUUUGGAAACUGUACGGCUGGAGUGCAGGAGAGGUAAGUGGAAUUCCUAGUGUAGCGGUGAAAUGCGUAGAUAUUAGGAGGAACACCAGUGGCGAAGGCGGCUUACUGGACUGUAACUGACGUUGAGGCUCGAAAGCGUGGGGAGCAAACAGGAUUAGAUACCCUGGUAGUC
rnacentral:rRNA from 1 species